rnacentral:rRNA from 1 species
GAUGAACGCUAGCGAUAGGCUUAACACAUGCAAGUCGAGGGGCAGCACAAGGUAGCUUGCUAUCUGGGUGGCGACCGGCGCACGGGUGCGUAACGCGUAUGCAACUUGCCCUAUACAGGAGGAUAACCCGUCGAAAGACGGACUAAUACUGCGUAUGCUCACAACUUGGCAUCAAGUGGUGAGGAAAGAAAUUCGGUAUAGGAUAGGCAUGCGUCCCAUUAGCUUGUUGGUGAGGUAACGGCUCACCAAGGCAACGAUGGGUAGGGGAACUGAGAGGUUUAUCCCCCACACUGGCACUGAGACACGGACCAGACUCCUACGGGAGGCAGCAGUGAGGAAUAUUGGUCAAUGGGCGCGAGCCUGAACCAGCCAAGUCGCGUGAAGGAGGACUGUCUUAUGGAUUGUAAACUUCUUUUAUACGGGAAUAACAAGAGUCACGGGUGACUCCCUGCAUGUACCGUAUGAAUAAGCAUCGGCUAACUCCGUG